GAUAUGGCUCAGAAUCAACGCUGGCGGCGUGCCUAACACAUGCAAGUCGAACGAGAAAGUGGGGGCAACCCUGCGAGUACAGUGGCAGACGGGUGAGUAACACGUGAACAACCUACCCUUGAGUGGGGAAUAACACCGCGAAAGCGGUGCUAAUACCGCAUAACAUCUUUGGGUUGCAUGACCUGGAGAUCAAAAGCGCAAGUUGCUUGAGGAGGGGUUCGCGUCUGAUUAGCUAGUUGGUGAGGUAACGGCCCACCAAGGCAACGAUCAGUAGCCGGCCUGAGAGGGCGGACGGCCACACUGGAACUGAGACACGGUCCAGACUCCUACGGGAGGCAGCAGUGGGGAAUUUUGCGCAAUGGACGAAAGUCUGACGCAGCAACGCCGCCGUGGAGGAUGAAGGCCUUCGGGUCGUAAACUCCUGUCGAUGGGGACGAAGGCCUCGCGAGAGGUUUGACUGUACCCGUUGAGGAAGCCACGGCUAACUCCGUGCCAGCAGCUGC
rnacentral:rRNA from 1 species